rnacentral:rRNA from 1 species
UCUCAGGAGUUUUUGAUCAUGGCUCAGGAUGAACGCUGGCGGCGUGCCUAAUACAUGCAAGUCGAACGAACUUCCGUUAAUUGAUCAUGAGGUGCUUGCACUGAAUGAGAUUUUAACACGAAGUGAGUGGCGGACGGGUGAGUAACACGUGGGUAACCUGCCCAGAAGCAGGGGAUAACACCUGGAAACAGAUGCUAAUACCGUAUAACAGAGAAAACCGCCUGGUUUUCUUUUAAAAGAUGGCUCUGCUAUCACUUCUGGAUGGACCCGCGGCGCAUUAGCUAGUUGGUGAGGUAACGGCUCACCAAGGCGAUGAUGCGUAGCCGACCUGAGAGGGUAAUCGGCCACAUUGGGACUGAGACACGGCCCAGACUCCUACGGGAGGCAGCAGUAGGGAAUCUUCCACAAUGGACGCAAGUCUGAUGGAGCAACGCCGCGUGAGUGAAGAAGGGUUUCGGCUCGUAAAGCUCUGUUGUUAAAGAAGAACGUGGGUGAGAGUAACUGUUCACCCAGUGACGGUAUUUAACCAGAAAGCCACGGCUAACUACGUGCCAGCAGCCGCGGUAAUACGUAGGUGGCAAGCGUUAUCCGGAUUUAUUGGGCGUAAAGCGAGCGCAGGCGGUCUUUUAAGUCUAAUGUGAAAGCCUUCGGCUCAACCGAAGAAGUGCAUUGGAAACUGGGAGACUUGAGUGCAGAAGAGGACAGUGGAACUCCAUGUGUAGCGGUGAAAUGCGUAGAUAUAUGGAAGAACACCAGUGGCGAAGGCGGCUGUCUGGUCUGUAACUGACGCUGAGGCUCGAAAGCAUGGGUAGCGAACAGGAUUAGAUACCCUGGUAGUCCAUGCCGUAAACGAUGAUUACUAAGUGUUGGAGGGUUUCCGCCCUUCAGUGCUGCAGCUAACGCAUUAAGUAAUCCGCCUGGGGAGUACGACCGCAAGGUUGAAACUCAAAAGAAUUGACGGGGGCCCGCACAAGCGGUGGAGCAUGUGGUUUAAUUCGAAGCUACGCGAAGAACCUUACCAGGUCUUGACAUCUUCUGCCAACCUAAGAGAUUAGGCGUUCCCUUCGGGGACAGAAUGACAGGUGGUGCAUGGUUGUCGUCAGCUCGUGUCGUGAGAUGUUGGGUUAAGUCCCGCAACGAGCGCAACCCUUAUUACUAGUUGCCAGCAUUCAGUUGGGCACUCUAGUGAGACUGCCGGUGACAAACCGGAGGGAAGGUGGGGGACGACGUUCAAAUCAUCAUGCCCCUUAUGACCUGGGCUACACACGUGCUAC